UACGGGGGGGGCAAGCGUUGUUCGGAAUUACUGGGCGUAAAGGGCUCGUAGGCGGCCAACUAAGUCGGAUGUGAAAUCCCCAGGCUUAACUGGGGAACUGCGUCUGAUACUGGAUGGCUCGAGUGCAGGAGAGGAACGCGGAAUUCCAGGUGUAGCGGUGAAAUGCGUAGAUAUCUGGAGGAACACCGGUGGCGAAGGCGGCUAUCUGGACGGUUACUGACGCUAAGACGCGAAAGCGUGGGGAGCAAACAGG
rnacentral:rRNA from 1 species